rnacentral:rRNA from 1 species
GAUGAACGCUGGCGGCGCGCCCAACACAUGCAAGUCGAACGAUUAAAGCACCUUCGGGUGUGUAUAAAGUGGCGAACGGCUGAGUAACACGUGGGCAACCUGCCCCUCUCAUUGGGAUAGCCACGGGAAACCGUGGAUAAUACCGAAUACUUCGGGACUUCCGCAUGGAAGACUCGAGAAAGCUCCGGCGGAGAGGGAUGGGCCCGCGGCCUGUUAGCUUGUUGGUGGGGUAAUGGCCUACCAAGGCAAUGAUGGGUAGCUGGGUUGAGAGACCGACCAGCCAGAUUGGGACUGAGACACGGCCCAGACUCCUACGGGAGGCAGCAGUGGGGAAUCUUGCACAAUGGGCGAAAGCCUGAUGCAGCGACGCCGCGUGCGGGAUGAAGGCCUUCGGGUUGUAAACCGCUUUCAGCAGGGACGAGGCGAAAGUGACGGUACCUGCAGAAGAAGCCCCGGCUAACUACGUG